rnacentral:rRNA from 1 species
AUCUACAUCAACCCCAGGCUGGCGGCCCUUCUGAAGCUAAGCAGGAUCGGGACUGGUUAAUAUGUGGAUGGGCGACCUCCAGGAAAUUCGAGAGCUGUGGACU